rnacentral:rRNA from 1 species
AAAGGGGGCCGCAAGGCUCCCGCUCAUCGAGGGGUUCGCGCACCAUCAGCUUGUUGGCGGGGUAACGGCCCACCAAGGCCUACGGUUAGCUGGUCUGAGAGGAUGACCAGCCCCACUGGGACUGAGAUACUGCCCAGACUCCUACGGGAGGCUGCAGUCGAGGAUCAUUUGCAAUGGGCGAAAGCCUGACAAUGCGACGCUGCGUGGAGGAUGAAGGCCUUCGGGUUGUAAACUCCUGUCAUAGGGGAACAGGCGAUCUUACCUAAUACGUAAGUGAGUUGAGUGUACCCUAAGAGGAAUUGGCGGCUAACUCUGUGCCAGCAGCCGCGGUAAUACAGAGGCCAAGAGCGUUGUUCGGAUUUAUUGGGUUUAAAGGGUGCGUAGGCUGUGGUCCAAGUCAGGGGUGAAAGCCCGGAGCUCAACUCCGGAACUGCCUUUGAUACUGGUCCGCUGGAAUACGGAUGCCGUGGGAGGAAUGAGUAGUGUGGCGGUGAAAUGCAUAGAUAUUACUCAGAACACCGAUUGCGAAGGCAUCUCACGAAUCCGUCAUUGACGCUGAGGCACGAAAGCGUGGGGAUCAAACAGGAUUAGAUACCCUGGUAGUCCACGCAGUAAACGAUGAUAACUAACCGUCGGCGAUACACAGUCGGUGGCCAAGCGAAAGCGAUAAGUUAUCCACCUGGGGAGUACGACCGCAAGGUUGAAACUCAAAGGAAUUGACGGGGGCCCGCACAAGCGGAGGAGCAUGUGGCUUAAUUCGAUGCAACGCGAAGAACCUUACCUGGAUUUGACAUAUACUUGCACGGCCCGUGAAAGCGGGCUUCCUUCGAGGGUAGUAUACAGGUGCUGCAUGGCUGUCGUCAGUUCGUGCCGUGAGGUGUUUGGUUAAGUCCACCAACGAACGCAACCCCUUUGACGUGUUGCCAGCGGGUAAUGCCGGGAACUCGCGUCACACUGCUAGUUUACGCUAGAGGAAGGUGGGGAUGACGUCAAGUCAGUAUGGCCCUUACAUCCAGGGCUGCACACGUGCUACAAUGGCAUGUACAGAGGGAUGCGAAACCGCAAGGUGGAGCGAAUCCCGCAGAGCAUGCCCCAGUUCGGAUUGGGGUCUGCAACCCGACCCCAUGAAGUCGGAUUUGCUGGUAACGGCGUAUCAGCUACGACGCCGUGAAUGCGUUCCCGGGCCUUGCACACACCGCCGGUCA